rnacentral:rRNA from 1 species
GAUGAACGCUAGCGGCAGGCCUAACACAUGCAAGUCGAGGGGCAGCAUAAGAGUAGCUUGCUACUCUGGUGGCGACCGGCGCACGGGUGAGUAACGCGUAUGCAACCUACCCUAUACUGGGGAAUAACCAGGAGAAAUUCUGACUAAUACCCCAUAGUAAUAUACUUUCGCAUGUUAGUAUGUUUAAAGGUUACGGUAUAGGAUGGGCAUGCGUCCCAUUAGCUAGUUGGUGUGGUAACGGCACACCAAGGCUACGAUGGGUAGGGGGCCUGAGAGGGUGAUCCCCCACACUGGUACUGAGACACGGACCAGACUCCUACGGGAGGCAGCAGUGAGGAAUAUUGGUCAAUGGGCGCAAGCCUGAACCAGCCAUGCCGCGUGCAGGAAGACGGUCCUAUGGAUUGUAAACUGCUUUUAUUCGGGAAUAAACCUCUUUACGUGUAGAGAGCUGAAGGUACCGAAAGAAUAAGCACCGGCUAACUCCGUG